GUGGGGAAUAUUGGACAAUGGGCGAAAGCCUGAUCCAGCCAUGCCGCGUGUGUGAAGAAGGUCUUCGGAUUGUAAAGCACUUUAAGUUGGGAGGAAGGGCAGUAAGUUAAUACCUUGCUGUUUUGACGUUACCGACAGAAUAAGCACCGGCUAACUUCGUGCCAGCAGCCGCGGUAAUACGAAGGGUGCAAGCGUUAAUCGGAAUUACUGGGCGUAAAGCGCGCGUAGGUGGUUUUGUAAGUUGGAGGUGAAAUCCCCGGGCUCAACCUGGGAACUGCCUCCAAAACUGCAUGACUAGAGUACGGUAGAAGGUAGUGGAAUUUCCUGUGUAGCGGUGAAAUGCGUAGAUAUAGGAAGGAACACCAGUGGCGAAGGCGACUACCUGGACUGAUACUGACACUGAGGUGCGAAAGCGUGGGGAGCAAACAGGAUUAGAUACCCUAGUAGUCC
rnacentral:rRNA from 1 species